GUGCCAGCCGCCUUCGGUAAUUCCAGCUCCAAUAGCGUAUAUUAAAGUUGUCGUGGUUAAAAAGCUCGUAGUUGAACCUUGGGCCUGGCUGGCCGGUCCGCCUCACCGCGUGCACUGGUCCGGCCGGGCCUUUCCCUCUGUGGAACCCCAUACCCUUCACUGGGCGUGGCGGGGAAACAGGACAUUUACUUUGAAAAAAUUAGAGUGCUCCAGGCAGGCCUAUGCUCGAAUACAUUAGCAUGGAAUAAUAAAAUAGGACGCGCGGUUCUAUUUUGUUGGUUUAUAGGACCGCCGUAAUGAUUAAUAGGGACAGUCGGGGGCAUCAGUAUUCAACUGUCAGAGGUGAAAUUCUUGGAUCAGUUGAAGACUAACUACUGCGAAAGCAUUUGCCAAGGAUGUUUUCAUUAAUCAGGAACGAAAGUUAGGGGGAUCGAAGACGAUCAGAUACCGUCGUAGUCUUAACCAUAAACUAUGCCGACUAGGGAUCGGACGGAGUUAUUCAUGACCCCGUUCUGGCACCUUACGAGAAAUCAAAGUGCUUGGGCUCCAGGGGGGAGUAUGGUCGCAAGGCUGAAACUUAAAGAAAUUGACGGAAGGGACCACCAGGGCUGAAGCCUGCGGCUUUAUUUGACUCAACUACGGGGAAACUCACCACGUCCAGACACAUAAGGAAUUGACAAGAUUGAGAGCUCUUUGCUUGAUUUUGUGGUUGUGGUUGCAUAGCCGUAUCUUUAGUUGGGCGGCGACUUGUCUGCUUAAUUAUAAUAUCCAUAUGAGACCUUAUCAGAUAAAUAACCGCAAUAUGUACGGCAUGAC
rnacentral:rRNA from 1 species